rnacentral:misc_RNA from 1 species
UGCUUGAAUCAUCGGAUACCAUU